rnacentral:rRNA from 1 species
GCUAGUUGCACGAGUUCAUACUCGUGGCGAAAAGCUCAGUAACACGUGGCCAAACUACCCUACAGAGAACGAUAACCUCGGGAAACUGAGGCUAAUAGUUCAUACGGGAGUCAUGCUGGAAUGCCGACUCCCCGAAACGCUCAGGCGCUGUAGGAUGUGGCUGCGGCCGAUUAGGUAGACGGUGGGGUAACGGCCCACCGUGCCGAUAAUCGGUACGGGUUGUGAGAGCAAGAGCCCGGAGACGGAAUCUGAGACAAGAUUCCGGGCCCUACGGGGCGCAGCAGGCGCGAAACCUUUACACUGCACGCAAGUGCGAUAAGGGGACCCCAAGUGCGAGGGCAUAUAGUCCUCGCUUUUCACGACUGUAAGGCGGUCGUGGAAUAAGAGCUGGGCAAGACCGGUGCCAGCCGCCGCGGUAAUACCGGCAGCUCAAGUGAUGACCGAUAUUAUUGGGCCUAAAGCGUCCGUAGCCGGCCACGAAGGUUCAUCGGGAAAUCCGCCAGCUCAACUGGCGGGCGUCCGGUGAAAACCACGUGGCUUGGGACCGGAAGGCUCGAGGGGUACGUCCGGGGUAGGAGUGAAAUCCCGUAAUCCUGGACGGACCACCGAUGGCGAAAGCACCUCGAGAAGACGGAUCCGACGGUGAGGGACGAAAGCUAGGGUCUCGAACCGGAUUAGAUACCCGGGUAGUCCUAGCUGUAAACGAUGCUCGCUAGGUGUGACACAGGCUACGAGCCUGUGCUGUGCCGUAGGGAAGCCGAGAAGCGAGCCGCCUGGGAAGUACGUCCGCAAGGAUGAAACUUAAAGGAAUUGGCGGGGGAGCACUACAACCGGAGGAGCCUGCGGUUUAAUUGGACUCAACGCCGGACAUCUCACCAGCUCCGACUACAGUGAUGACGAUCAGGUUGAUGACCUUAUCACGACGCUGUAGAGAGGAGGUGCAUGGCCGCCGUCAGCUCGUACCGUGAGGCGUCCUGUUAAGUCAGGCAACGAGCGAGACCCGCACUUCUAAUUGCCAGCAGCAGUUUCGACUGGCUGGGUACAUUAGAAGGACUGCCGCUGCUAAAGCGGAAGAAGGAACGGGCAACGGUA